GAUGAACGCUAGCGGCAGGCUUAAUACAUGCAAGUCGAGGGGCAGCAUGAUUGUAGCAAUACAAUUGAUGGCGACCGGCAAACGGGUGCGGAACACGUACACAACCUUCCAACAAGUGGGGGAUAGCCCAGAGAAAUUUGGAUUAAUACCCCGUAACAUAGCGAUGUGGCAUCACAUUGCUAUUAUAGAUUUUUCGCUUGUUGAUUGGUGUGCGGCUGAUUAGAUAGUUGGCGGGGUAUCGGCCCACCAAGUCUACGAUCAGUAGCUGAUGUGAGAGCAUGAUCAGCCACACGGGCACUGAGACACGGGCCCGACUCCUACGGGAGGCAGCAGUAAGGAAUAUUGGACAAUGGACGCAAGUCUGAUCCAGCCAUGCCGCGUGAAGGAUUAAGGUCCUCUGGAUUGUAAACUUCUUUUAUAAGGGACGAAAAAAGGCUUUUCUAAGUCGUCUGACGGUACCUUAUGAAUAAGCACCGGCUAACUCCGUGCCAGCAGCCGCGGUAAGAC
rnacentral:rRNA from 1 species